rnacentral:lncRNA from 1 species
GUGUAAAUUGGUAUCAUGAGGUUUAUUUAACUAUAUUAUGGAUUCAGAGUAUUGCCUAAAAUGUCAAUACACAGUUGACACAAUGACUAACGUAGACAAUGAGGGACAGUAAUACAAAUUGAUCACCUAUAUUCUGGUUAUGAAUAUACUCCUGUUAUUCCAGAGCAUACAAACCCAAUCUUUUGGUAAACAAAUGUACUUUAAAUUCAUAUUUUGUUCUAGUGACUGACCUGCAAUUGCCUAGGAGGAGUAGUACUGAGCUUUUAGAAGCUUAAGCAGGUAGCAUUGUGGCUGGUAAGGCAUGAGGAUUCAGUGUUUUACUCAACUUAACUUGUUUUAACUAAUCAUGUCUCCGUCGUCUCCCAAUGGCUGUUGUCAUCUUCUGACUGGUAUCUCUCCUGGUUAAACCUCUUAGCUGAGGGAUGUGAUGUUGGAGCGACCACCAGGGGGAACUACGAUGCGGCGUCCGGCUGGCCGGAUGGGGACAUCCUCUGUGGUGGGGGGACCUAACAGACAAACAGGAUUAUAGUACUGUCUCUUUAAGCAUCAGGAUAUCCUCUGUGGUGGGGGACCUAACAGACAAACAGGAUUAUAGUACUGUCUCUUUAAGCAUCAGGAUAUCUCUGUGGUGGGGGGACCUAACAGACAAACAGGAUUAUAGUACUGUCUCUUUAAGCAUCAGGAUACUCUGUGGUGGGGGGACCUAACAGACAAACAGGAUUAUAGUACUGUCUCUUUAAGCAUCAGGAUAUCUUCUUUGUGGUGGGGACCUAACAGACAAACAGGAUUAUAGUACUGUCUCUUUUAGCAUCAGGAUUCCUCUGUGGUGGGGGACCUAACGACAAACAGGAUUAUAGUACGUCUCUUUAAGCAUCAGGACAUCCUCUGUGGUGGGGGGACCUAACAGACAACGGAUUUAUGUACUGUCUCUUUAAGCAUCAGGAUAUCCUCUGUGUGGGGGGACCUACGAAAACAGGAUUAUAGUACUGUCUCUUUAAGCAUCAGGACAUCCUCUGUGGUGGGGGACCUAACAGACAAACCGUAUUAUAGUACUGUCUCUUUAAGCAUCAGGAUAUCCUCUGGUGGGGGGGGACCUAACAGACAAACAGGAUUAAGUACUGUUCUUUAAGCAUCGUAUCCUCUGUGGUGGG